GUUUUUAUGCGUGUUAUGCACAAGACAUUCCAUUACAUUCAGAGUGUGUAAAAAUUACUUUGAGAUCCAGGCUGGCACAAGGCCAACCAACUGCAAGUUAGACAAGCGGAUCCCAAAGUCAAAAGUGCACAGGUGUGUAGAUUUGCGAUCUACGUGCACAUGUGUUGCCACCAGCACAGAAGACCGACUUGUAAUUCAUUAAUGAUCCUUCCGCAGGUUCACCUACGGAAA
rnacentral:misc_RNA from 1 species